GACGAACGCUGGCGGUGUGCUUAACACAUGCAAGUCGAACGGAAAGGCCUGCUUUCCCUUGUGGAUUGCGGGUACUCGCGUGGCGAACGGGGGAGUAACACGUGAGUGAUCUGCCCCCAACGUGGGUAUAAGCCUGGGAAACUGGGUCUAAUUCCCGAUAGUACUGCAGGGUGGUGGCUGUGUUGGGAAACGAUUUUCUAGUGGUUGGGGGUGAGCUCGCGGUCUAUCAGCGUGGUGGUGGGGUAAUGGCCUACCAAGGCGGGGCCGGGUAGCCGGACUGAGAGGGGGGACGGCUACAGUGGGACUGAGAUCAGGCCGAGAGUGAGACGGCCGGCAGCAGUGGGGAAUGUUGCAGAAGGGGCGGAAGGCGGAUGCAGCGACGCCGCGUGGGGGAUGACGGCGUUCGGGUGGUAAACUCCUUUCGAACGCGAGGAAGCCACCUGGUUGGAAGGGUGGUGACGGUAGUGGUAGAAGAAGCCCCGGCUAACUACGUG
rnacentral:rRNA from 1 species